rnacentral:lncRNA from 1 species
CAGAGCCUGUUGCUGGCUGGGCUGGGCUAAGUUGACUCCCCACGGCCGUCAGCCCCACUGCAUCCUGACCGCUCAGGAACCGUGGCCAGCACUUUCCAGGCUCGAAGGCAUGGGUGCUCACAGCAUGCCCGAGGGACAGCCCAGCUGCAGCCCCUCCUCACCAGCGACCCCGGGCCCUUCGCCUCGGGGCCAGUCAAGCAGGGAGCAGACAGCAGUGUGUGAGGAGGAGAAAAGAGCCGGACUACAGGGACGCCAGCCGCCUGCCAGCCCCUCCCCUGCAGCCUCUCCUCCCAGACACGGAUGUCCCUGAGCUGCCCAGUGCAGGGAGCAGGGCCAGGGGAACCAGACACCGUCAUGACCCAGAAGGGCUGCACUUCUCCGGGGUUUGCAGAAUGUGGCAGGGGUGGAAAAACUCAAAAGUCCUUAAACACAGGUAAGCAGACAGCACAGCGGUGGUGUUUCCCGCACCUUGAGUCUGUGUUUGCAUGUGGGUGCACACGUGUCUAUGUGUACAUUUGUUUGUAUCUGCUUCCUCCGUGUGUGCAUGCAUGUCUCUGUGCAUGUAUGUAGCUGCGUGUACAUGUACUUGUGUCUCUGUGC